rnacentral:rRNA from 1 species
GGACUACUGGGGUAUCUAAUCCUGUUUGCUCCCCUAGCUUUCGCGUCUUAGCGUCAGUAAAGGCCCAGGUACCUGCCUUCGCCAUUGAUGUUCCUCCCGAUAUCUACGCAUUUCACCGCUACACCGGGAAUUCCAGUACCCCCUGCCUCACUCCAGACGCCCAGUAUCUGCUGACCCCUCCCAGUUGAGCCGGGAGAUUUCACAGCAGACUUAAGCACCCGCCUACACGCGCUUUACGCCUAGUGAUUCCGAGUAACGCUCGCCACCUACGUCUUACCGCGGCUGCUGGCAC